rnacentral:tRNA from 1 species
GACAAUGUGGUUGAGUGGUAAAGCGAUUGGCUUCCGAACCGAAUGGCCCGGGCUCGAAUCCUGGCUUAGACU